CCUACGGGAGGCAGCAGUGGGGAAUAUUGCACAAUGGAGGAAACCCUGAUGCAGCGACGCCGCGUGAGUGAAGAAGUAUUUCGGUAUGUAAAGCUCUAUCAGCAGGGAAGAAAAUGACUGUACCUGUUUAAGAAGCCCCUGUGAACUACGUGCCAGCAGCCUCGGUAAUACGUCGGGGGCAAGCGUUAUCCGGAUUUACUGGGUGUAAAGGGAGCGUCGACGGCAGCACAAGUCUGGAGUGAAAUGCCGGGGCUUAACCCAGGAACUGCAUUGGAAACUGGGCAGCUAGAGUGCAUGAGAGGGAAGUGGAAGUCCGAGUGUAGCGGUGAAAUGCGUAGAGAUUAGGAGGAAAACCAGUGGCGAAGGCGGCUUAUUGGACUGUAACUGACGUUGAGGCUCGAAAGCGUGGGGAGCAAACAGGAUUAGAUACCCGUGUAGUC
rnacentral:rRNA from 1 species